rnacentral:rRNA from 1 species
GCGUCUUACACAUGCAGUCGACGAUGAAGCCUUUCGGGGUGGAUUAGUGGCGAACGGGUGAGUAACACGUGGGCAAUCUGCCCUUCACUCUGGGACAAGCCCUGGAAACGGGGUCUAAUACCGGAUAACACUCUGUCCCGCAUGGGACGGGGUUAAAAGCUCCGGCGGUGAAGGAUGAGCCCGCGGCCUAUCAGCUUGUUGGUGGGGUAAUGGCCUACCAAGGCGACGACGGGUAGCCGGCCUGAGAGGGCGACCGGCCACACUGGGACUGAGACACGGCCCAGACUCCUACGGGAGGCAGCAGUGGGGAAUAUUGCACAAUGGGCGAAAGCCUGAUGCAGCGACGCCGCGUGAGGGAUGACGGCCUUCGGGUUGUAAACCUCUUUCAGCAGGGAAGAAGCGAAAGUGACGGUACCUGCAGAAGAAGCGCCGGCUAACUACGUGCCAGCAGCCGCGGUAAUACGUAGGGCGCAAGCGUUGUCCGGAAUUAUUGGGCGUAAAGAGCUCGUAGGCGGCUUGUCACGUCGGAUGUGAAAGCCCGGGGCUUAACCCCGGGUCUGCAUUCGAUACGGGCUAGCUAGAGUGUGGUAGGGGAGAUCGGAAUUCCUGGUGUAGCGGUGAAAUGCGCAGAUAUCAGGAGGAACACCGGUGGCGAAGGCGGAUCUCUGGGCCAUUACUGACGCUGAGGAGCGAAAGCGUGGGGAGCGAACAGGAUUAGAUACCCUGGUAGUCCACGCCGUAAACGUUGGGAACUAGGUGUUGGCGACAUUCCACGUCGUCGGUGCCGCAGCUAACGCAUUAAGUUCCCCGCCUGGGGAGUACGGCCGCAAGGCUAAAACUCAAAGGAAUUGACGGGGGCCCGCACAAGCAGCGGAGCAUGUGGCUUAUUCGACGCAACGCGAAGAACCUUACCAAGGCUUGACAUAUACCGGAAAGCAUCAGAGAUGGUGCCCCCCUUGUGGUCGGUAUACAGGUGGUGCAUGGCCUGUCGUCAGCUCGUGUCGUGAGAUGUUGGGUUAAGUCCCGCGAACGAGCGCAACCCUUGUUCUGUGUUGCCAGCAUGCCCUUCGGGGUGAUGGGGACUCACAGGAGACUGCCGGGGUCAACUCGGAGGAAGGUGGGGACGACGUCAAGUCAUCAUGCCCCUUAUGUCUUGGGCUGCACACGUGCUACAAUGGCCGGUACAAUGAGCUGCGAUGCCGCGAGGCGGAGCGAAUCUCAAAAAGCCGGUCUCAGUUCGGAUUGGGGUCUGCAACUCGACCCCAUGAAGUCGGAGUUGCUAGUAAUCGCAGAUCAGCAUUGCUGCGGUGAAUACGUUCCCGGGCCUUGUACACACCGCCCGUCACGUCACGAAAGUCGGUAACACCCGAAGCCGGUGGCCCAACCCCUUGUGGGAGGGAGCUGUCGAAGGUGGGACUGGCGAUUGGGACGAAGUCG